AACUCAUGUGACUGACAGGCAGCAGCAGCGCCCCUGCAAGCUAGAGAAAGAGGAAGAGAGAGAGGCUCUGGCAGGCUGCAGGCAAGCGGGCUCUCCAGUGACGGGGUGCUGAGCCUCCUUGCUGUGUUUAAAGGUUAACUCACUUCUGUCUUAUAGCCCCCCCCUUACUUCUCACUACGGUUUACAUUAAAUCAAGCCAUUUGACAUUCAGGGCCCCCCUGCGUUUUUCCCGUAAUUUGAGCACUGGAGACAUCCCUGGUUUCUGACCCCAUAUGCACAAAUUCCAGUCUGAGAGACUGUCCUGCACCCCACUGCAUACAGACACCUCCUUGCAUGAGAGCCUUCCCCUGCAUGUGCCUAUGCACACAUGGAUCCUGAGAUGCAAGAACCCCUUCUCUCCCUUCCUGCUCCCCAACACUGAGGCAUGCUGACAGGACCCACCGCUAUAUGCAUAUGUAGAAACCUUCUGUCCACCACCCUUCUAGACACAUGCACAGAGAGGUGCUGCCAGGAGAGACUCCCCCCUCCUUAUCCCCUUCUUUUCUCAUUCCAAAAAACAAACCAUGGAUACUAAUAGGAGAAAAUCCUCACACUUCUCUCUCUCCACCCCCUCUCUUCCCUUUCAUAGACACAGACUAGAGAACUGAAUCCCCUUUCUCCUGAAAAAAUCCCACACAUACAUGCUGGCAGGCAAUACACCCCUCCCCGCAUGCUGAAAGAAGAGGAGAAACUUCCCUCAUAUAUACACACACAUGGAUGCUGGCAGGGUAACCCUCCCACACUCCUAUACACCCUGCUUCCCCUUCCAUACAUGCAUACAAAUACUGAGAGGAGAGGAGAGAGCAUUCCCUGCUGCCUCCAGGAAAGAACAAUCAUGUAGGUUGAUGUGGAGACAACUACCCAAGGCACUAAAGUGGUGACAGGAGACAGCCUUGCCCAAAUGCUGGCUGGAGAGAAUGAUUUUUACAGAGAAUAAAUCUGUCUGUAGUAUUUUUACUCUCUCAAAAGUGGUUCCUGGAAUGAUCCAUCAGAAAAUUCACUCCACAAAUGAAAUCAAAAGAUCAAACUCUUCAAAGCUCAGUAGGCCUAAUUCCUCCCUGGUGUAUGUAACUACAUUCACAACAGAGAUGAAUUCAACCCCCUUGACGUUAGCUUGGGACUUUCUUCUAGUCACCUGGUAUUUUUGCUCAUCUUGUGCUUUUUACUGUUAGUCUAUAAUGAAGAAGUGUUUUUAAUAAUAGAAAUAACCAGUGUUAAGACCUUCAGACACACUAAAUACAUAGCUGGUGCUAAAGGCAAGAUAUUUAUUGCACAUAAGCAAUUUACAGAGUUCAUGGCUGUACAUGUAUCAUUCUGAGGGGAUAUUAAAUAUAUAUAUUUUCCAAACAUUGCAGAUCUCUGGAAGUAUGUUAAUUUCUCCAGGAAUUUGGAAUUUUCUAAUGACUGGGGGCAAAGAAUUCACCAUGUGAAGAUUUAUUUUAGUCAGUUUCUGAGUUUGGACGUGGGCUUUCGAUUUUACUGUUGUAACGGGAGAGACGCUUGAGCUAAUUUCUCUGUUUUGUUUUCUUGGUUGGCUCUGGAGUAUUUCUAGUCCUUUGGAAUGUCACUUUUUGGGGGGGUGGGCGGAGGGGAGGAUAGCGCUUUGAGGAAGCUCACUACUGCAAUUUGAGGGAGUAUUUUUGUUACGUUUCAAUCAAUGUCAGCUUGUUUGUUUUUUAGUGGUUGAUACUUUCUUGGAGCCAGAUUGAUACCUUUGCUCACACUGAGUAAUCCCAUGCUGUACAAAUAGUUCCCAUUUAGAGUACUUAUGACAUGUAUGUAAGGUACUAUUCGUUGUGAAAAAGGGUGUUGCAUUCUGGCAUUUUGUGAGGUACUCAAACAUGCUUUGGAGUCUGUUGUAACCAUGAAGAAUAGUGUUUUUGCUUGUUAAAUAUAGGCUGAAUUUUUAUUGCUCUGUGGUUUUAUUGUAUUGCAGCCUGGACUCUGCCUGAUUCUGGAUUUGAUGAUUCCAUAAGAAAUCUUUCUCAGGUUGCCAAGCAAAGUAGAACUCUUCCAUCUGGAUAAGUCAAAUCCUGUGCAUGCAAAUGACUUGUGUUCACAUUAGGGAUGUGCAUCGCCUUUGUUUUGACAACCUACUGUCUGUCUUUGGUGGUUUUUGGAGACACAAAACUGCUUGAGAUUGUCUUUUUAAUUGGUGCAUGCAAACUCUUAGAUCUUAUAAAGAGUCUUUUCUGAACAGACUCCUAUUUGACUGACACCCCAACAAAUAUAUCUGUAGCCAGCAUAUUUUGCUUCUCCCCUUUCAGUGUGGCUGCCUCAGUUGACAAGCAAAACAGACAGCACCCUUCUUUUCAACCUGAAAUAUGUAACUGAGGUUGGUGAAAUCCUUAAUUAGCUUUACAGUAUCAGCCUUGGCUUGUUACUUUGUAAGACCUGGUUUAGGCAUUGUAUCUGCAGUAGCUUCCUUUCAUAUAUCUGCUGAGAUAUGUUCUAAAUUCAUUCCACUGAGUAAUUCUGAUUUAAAAUGACAAGUUCUUCUACACACCUUGGUAUGACAACAGAUAGUUUGCUUAGUGGUGUGUCCACCCACAUCCUUGUGAGUUGUGGACUUAUUUGAUAGGCUAAUACUGUAGCAGUUCCCUCUUGCGCUUCAUGAGAAGGAGGUUGAUCUUGUUGCUAAGGCAUGGGAAUAAGAAUUAAGAUCUGUGUUCUGUUCGCAGCUCUGCCCCUGACUUGCACUAUAACCUUUGGCAAAUCACUUAGCACAUCCUUACAGAAUGGUCCAAAUUUGUGUGCCUGCUUUCUCUGCCAUGAUGAUUGGCACUAAUGAAAAAAGAACAAUGCUCGGUUGCAAAGUACCUGGAGACGUACCUGCAGAGCCGCAUAUGGAAGAUGCUGUGAAGUGAAAAGUAUUUAUUAUUACAUAAAGUAAAAGAUUAAUCUUUAACACUGGUUGUUUGCCUCAAAAGUUAGUAAGUAAAGAUCCCUAAUGAAGGUAGAAAUAUUUCAUCCCUUUGAUUUCUACAGCUUUUCUUAUGGAUAUUUCUCUGUAUAGAGCUUUGAUCACACACUUUGAAUUUUUCAAGUAUCUACCACCUCUGCCUCUCUGAUAUUCAUAUGUUCCUUGUAACAAAAUAAACCUCACUAGAAACCA